rnacentral:rRNA from 1 species
GAGUUUGAUCCUGGCUCAGGAUGAACGCUGGCGGCGUGCCUAAUACAUGCAAGUCGAACGCUUCACUUCGGUGAAGAGUGGCGAACGGGUGAGUAAUACAUAAGUAACCUGGCAUCUACAGGGGGAUAACUGAUGGAAACGUCAGCUAAGACCGCAUAGGUGUAGAGAUCGCAUGAACUCUAUAUGAAAAGUGCUACGGGACUGGUAGAUGAUGGACUUAUGGCGCAUUAGCUGGUUGGUAGGGUAACGGCCUACCAAGGCGACGAUGCGUAGCCGACCUGAGAGGGUGACCGGCCACACUGGGACUGAGACACGGCCCAGACUCCUACGGGAGGCAGCAGUAGGGAAUUUUCGGCAAUGGGGGAAACCCUGACCGAGCAACGCCGCGUGAAGGAAGAAGUAAUUCGUUAUGUAAACUUCUGUCAUAGAGGAAGAACGGUGGAUAUAGGGAAUGAUAUCCAAGUGACGGUACUCUAUAAGAAAGCCACGGCUAACUACGUGCCAGCAGCCGCGGUAAUACGUAGGUGGCGAGCGUUAUCCGGAAUUAUUGGGCGUAAAGAGGGAGCAGGCGGCACUAAGGGUCUGUGGUGAAAGAUCGAAGCUUAACUUCGGUAAGCCAUGGAAACCGUAGAGCUAGAGUGUGUGAGAGGAUCGUGGAAUUCCAUGUGUAGCGGUGAAAUGCGUAGAUAUAUGGAGGAACACCAGUGGCGAAGGCGACGAUCUGGCGCAUAACUGACGCUCAGUCCCGAAAGCGUGGGGAGCAAAUAGGAUUAGAUACCCUAGUAGUCCACGCCGUAAACGAUGAGUACUAAGUGUUGGGUGUCAAAGCUCAGUGCUGCAGUUAACGCAAUAAGUACUCCGCCUGAGUAGUACGUUCGCAAGAAUGAAACUCAAAGGAAUUGACGGGGGCC